GUGCUCACUUCGGCAGCACAUAGACUAAAAUUGGAACGAUACAAAGAAGAUUAGCAUGGCCCCUGUGCAAGGAUAACAGUGUGACUCGGUGCAUGCUGCUUAUCCUU